GACAGAGGUGCCGAGCGUUAGGCGGAAUCACUGGGCUUAAAGCGUGUGUAGGCGGAUCGUUAAGUACCUUGUGAAAUCCCACGGCUUAACCGUGGAACUGCUGGGUAUACUGGCGAUCUUGAGGUGCUCAGGGGCGAGCGGAACAGAUGGUGGAGCGGUGAAAUGCGUAGAUAUCAUCUGGAACGCCUGCGGUGAAAACGGCUCGCUGGGAGCAAUCUGACGCUGAGACACGAAGCCAGGGGAGCAAACGGG
rnacentral:rRNA from 1 species